UUUUUUUUUUUGCCAAGGUGUCAUGCAAGCAGAAGAUGCUAUCUCAACAGAGUGUUGCAGAGCAAGUGUUAAGGCAGGUAUUUGUGUCCAACAUGGUAGUUGCAAACUUCAUUUUUGAGUUGAAUGGCAAAUACGUAAAAAGUACAGUGCUGGGAUUUCCCAUCCUUCCUGGCAGUUUCCGUCUUGUAAGUAGAUGUGAAGGGUUUAUAUUGGUACCAGAAACAGAUAAAGUGUCCCUCUUACAUGCAGAAUCAGAAAUGUAGAGCUGUCAGUACCACUUUGCUCUAGUAUUUGGUAACGAGGCUCUUUGUAGGUGUCAUGUGCUUUCUCACUGUCUUUCAAGCUCCUGUUACCAAAGCUCAAGAUCAGAGGAGAUGCUUCUUCUAAGCCAGUUACACUUUUGAAGUAUGAGAUCUUCAAAAGGGAAGUCUGGAUUUUGUGCCUUUCUGGCCUUAGAACUACCACAGUAUCAAAGUGCCAAGCUUCUGUCUUCUGGAGGGAAGACCAGAGCGAAAGGAAACCUUCCAGUUUGUGCUGGGUAUGAAAAUUCCCUAUAAUUUCUUCAUUAGGUGGUUCCUAAUAGAAUCACUUAAUAAUAGGCCUAAAUAUUCCUAUCUCAACAGUUUCAGAUUUGGUUUUGAAUUCCUUUGUCAUGAGUAAUUCCCGGGACAUUAGCAAGAUAUUUUUCUAGGAAAGAGGUGGUCGGUCAUACUUUGUAUUCUGUGGAAGUUGCACAACAACCUGCAGAUUUAUUGGAUAAGAGAAGCUGCAUCUAGAUAUUGCAGGAAUAAACCAGUCUUGCUGCUUUUUAAAGUGGCUUUUAAAAUGGGUUCAAAUACUGUUCUGGCCUUGGAGUUCCUGUAAUUAUUUGUAUUACAGCUGCUUUCUCUUGUCUUUGUACUCUGUCCAUUGCGUUCAUUAAUGAGGGAAAAAGUGAUGACAUCUUUAACCUACUGUUCCAAUAUCAAGCGCUGAAGUUUUAGCAAACCUAAAUGAUUUCUCUUUUGACAUUCUUCAAUACUCUUUUCGGAGACUGCUGCUCAGCUUUCAGGAAGGCACACUUUCUUUAAUGUAUUAGGUGAUUUAAAUGUCUGUAGAAGUCAAGCCAGCUGUCCUCAUUGAGAAGCAGAAGUUUUGUAAGAGAACUGUAUCCGUCCCAGAACAAACAUCUUAAAAUCAUGUGCAUUUAAUCAUACAAAACUGCUUUACUUUAGAAACUGUAUAAAUGUAUAUCAGCCCAUACUGGGGAAAUGUUUAAGUUUAGAACGUAAGCAUGAUGCUCCAAAGCAGUUGCAGCUGUCUCUUGGGUUUUGCAGAAUGUUUUGGAGUAAAGGCAGUGUGAUAUGUAAGUCUUUGAAUUGGGUAAAACACUUUACCCCUUUCCUUUUCCCACCCUACCAUGCCGAAGGUUCUGAAUCUUUCAAAUCACAGGAAAAAUCAAUACCUGGUUACAGACAUGGCAAUGAAAUGUUUCACAGGUAGUUCAUAACAGUUACAGACAUGAUGUCUAAAAGCACACAGGCUGUACUUGAGAAUAAACUUUGAGUGUCUUGGAUGAUUUAUGUCAAUCAGGAACAAAUCAAAUAGCUAAUUAAUCCCAUAUAGAACCCUGAUCCUUUAUAGCAAGGUCAGCUCUGAGGUCUGCCUUGUCCUUUU